rnacentral:rRNA from 1 species
GACGAACGCUGGCGGCGUGCCUAAUACAUGCAAGUUGAGCGAUGAAGAUUGGUGCUUGCACCAAUUUGAAGAGCAGCGAACGGGUGAGUAACGCGUGGGGAAUCUGCCUUUGAGCGGGGGACAACAUUUGGAAACGAAUGCUAAUACCGCAUAACAACUUUAAACAUAAGUUUUAAGUUUGAAAGAUGCAAUUGCAUCACUCAAAGAUGAUCCCGCGUUGUAUUAGCUAGUUGGUGAGGUAAAGGCUCACCAAGGCGAUGAUACAUAGCCGACCUGAGAGGGUGAUCGGCCACAUUGGGACUGAGACACGGCCCAAACUCCUACGGGAGGCAGCAGUAGGGAAUCUUCGGCAAUGGACGAAAGUCUGACCGAGCAACGCCGCGUGAGUGAAGAAGGGUGUCGGAUCGUAAAACUCGGUUGGUAGAGAAGAACGUUGGUGAGAGUGGAAAGCUCAUCAAGUGACGGUAACUACCCAGAAAGGGACGGCUAACUACGUG